CAGAGUGUGCAGCUGAAUAUUUUAUGCUGGAAAACACUUGGUUUGCUAUUUUUGAUGAAAACAAAACCGUUAUUCAUUCAAAUACGAAUACCAAACUUGUUUUUGCAUGGAUUCCAUGACGCGGUUAGCUUUUAACAGCUAGGACCGCUAUUUCUUGUCUCGGAAUCCCGCUUAGCAGACAGGUUGAAGCCUGCUUGACAGAGACGCUGUGCUGCUAGCCAUCGAGCUAACGAAGUUGGUACCAGAGGAGUUUUGCAAUGGAGCCCUCUUUGUCUGGAGAAAUAAAUUAACGGUUCCAACACUGUAGGAGCUGUAUCUACUGCGCUUUUUUUCUUGACAAACCGGAUCACUCGGAGUUCCGGGGCUUCUCACAAUCACUCGGGGCUUCUCCAUCUGUCGGAAUGCCUGCACCAGGUGCCGGGAGCAACGGGCUCAAGUUAUCCUGCCGCUCACCUGUUCAUAAAGAGUUCUCCGAAUCCUGUGACGCGUGGGAGUGGGCGGAUUUCCAGGUCAUUCUCGCCAGCCGUGAUUUUGGGCAGCUUCAUGGUAACCAUUCCUGGUGCAGAAACAAUGUCCUACCCCAGAGCGUGUCGCCCAUCUUCCCAUUAUCCCCUGUGUAUUUAUACCUGUGUUCUUUUUUUGUCUGUUGCCAGUUCGUCUUGUCAUUUCUUACCAGCAUUCUUUCCCACCUUCCUGUUGCUCUAGUUCUGUUUCCUAGUUAUUCCCGGUUCUGACCAGUCUGCCUGCCCCGACCCCGAGCCUGCCUGCUGUCCUGUGCCUGCCUGACUCUGACCUGAUUACGAACCACUGCCUGCCCUGACCCCGAGCCUGCCUGCCAUCCUGUACCUGCCUGACCUUGACCUGAUCACGAACUUCUGCCUGCCCUCGACCUGCCCUUUGCCUGCCCCGUGUUUCUAAUAAAUAAUCUGAGAACUGUA